CAGCACCUCAAGUGGUCAGGAUGAUUAUUGGGCCUAAAGCAUCCGUAGCCGGCGCUGUAAGUUUUCGGUUAAAUCUGUACGCUCAACGUACAGGCUGCCGGGAAUACUGCAGCGCUAGGGAGUGGGAGAGGUAGACGGUACUCGGUAGGAAGGGGUAAAAUCCUUUGAUCUAUUGAUGACCACCUGUGGCGAAGGCGGUCUACCAGAACACGUCCGACGGUGAGGGAUGAAAGCUGGGGGAGCAAACCGGAUUAGAUACCCGUGUAGUC
rnacentral:rRNA from 1 species